AAUAGCCUAACGGCUGAACCAGCAACUUGGAGGAAUGAAUAUUAAGAAUAUUAAAUAAAGUUCGAGAUAUACUAUGAUUAUGACAUUAUAUAUCUUUAAGUCUUGGCUAAGUCACGUGCCAGCAGUCGCGGUAAUACGUGGAAGACGAGUGUUAUUCAUCUUUAAUUGGUUUAAAGGGUACGUAGACGGUUAAUAAAUCUUACCUGUAAAAGGCGUAAGAACUAAUUAUACUAGAGUUUAAUGUGAGAAGUGCAGUACGGUGAGUGUAGUGAUAAAAUACUUUGAUACCACUUAGAGACUGAUAAAAGCGAAAGCGGCCUUUUAUGUAAAACUGACGUUAAGGGACGAAGGCUCGAUAAAGUAAAAGGAUUAGAUACCCUUGUAUUGUGGGCAGAAAAUGAUGAAUGUCAUAUAUAAGAUAAUUAUGUUUUAUGUAUAAAUGAAAGUGUAAGCAUUCCACCUCAAGAGUAAUAUGGCAACAUAUAAACUGAAAUCAUUAGACCGUUUCUGAAACCAGCAGUGAAGUAUGUUGUUUAAUUUGAUGAUCCACGGAAAACCUUACCACAAUUUGUAUAUUUAUAUUAUUUAAUUUAUAAUUACAAGAGUUGCACGGCUGUCUUCAGUUAAUGUCGUGAGAUUUGGUUAGUUCCAUCAAAUUAACGUAAACCCUUGCUUUAUUUUUUUAUACAUAAAGCAGUUCGCUGAUAAUAUUAUAUUGGUUUGAUAUAAGGGAUCAAGACAAGUCAUCAUGACCAAAAUAUUGUGGGCUAUAGACGUGCCACGCAAGCCUUAACAAAAAGAUGCAAAAUUGUGAAAUUAAGCUAAUCUUAUAAAAAAGGACAUAAUAU
rnacentral:rRNA from 1 species